ACUGAGCGUCAUCUACUCCGUAGCAUUACCCGAAAAAUAAGCAUGCAGCUGAAAGUGAUCCUUGUGGGCUUGGCCAUCUUUGGUCUCAUUGUGGCAGAGAGCAAUGCCAUGCCGGCCAGCAGCUCCAGUGAAGCCGAGGCCAGGGCUGAUCCCGAGACUGCAGAGCGUGCCGAGCAGAGCAACGCCGAGGAGGCACGUGUCGGCACAAAAUGUAUAGAAACACUGUGUGGGUAGUAACCCGAUGCAAGAGAGUGACAGGAUCGCAAGAUCGUCCCUCG